rnacentral:rRNA from 7 species
UCUUGGGAAAUUUCAUCGUGAUGGGGAUAGAUCAUUGCAAUUGUUGGUCUUCAACGAGGAAUGCCUAGUAAGCGCGAGUCAUCAGCUCGCGUUGACUACGUCCCUGCCCUUUGUACACACCGCCCGUCGCUCCUACCGAUUGAAUGGUCCGGUGAAGUGUUCGGAUCGCGGCGACGGGGGCGGUUCGCCGCCCCCGACGUCGCGAGAAGUCCAUUGAACCUUAUCAUUUAGAGGAAGGAGAAGUCGUAACAAGGUUUCCGUAGGUGAACCUGCGGAAGGAUCAUUG